rnacentral:rRNA from 1 species
UACGAAGGGGGCUAGCGUUGUUCGGAUUUACUGGGCGUAAAGCGCACGUAGGCGGAUCGUUAAGUCGGGGGUGAAAUCCUGGAGCUCAACUCCAGAACUGCCUUCGAUACUGGCGAUCUCGAGUCCGGAAGAGGUGAGUGGAACUCCUAGUGUAGAGGUGGAAUUCGUAGAUAUUAGGAAGAACACCGGUGGCGAAGGCGGAUCUCUGGGCCGAUACUGACGCUGAGGAGCGAAAGCGUGGGGAGCGAACAGG